rnacentral:rRNA from 1 species
UCCGUAGGGGUAACCUGCGGAGGGAUCAUUACCGAGUUUACAACUCCCAAACCCCUGUGAACAUACCACUUGUUGCCUCGGCGGAUCAGCCCGCUCCCGGUAAAACGGGACGGCCCGCCAGAGGACCCCUAAACUCUGUUUCUAUAUGUAACUUCUGAGUAAAACCAUAAAUAAAUCAAAACUUUCAACAACGGAUCUCUUGGUUCUGGCAUCGAUGAAGAACGCAGCAAAAUGCGAUAAGUAAUGUGAAUUGCAGAAUUCAGUGAAUCAUCGAAUCUUUGAACGCACAUUGCGCCCGCCAGUAUUCUGGCGGGCAUGCCUGUUCGAGCGUCAUUUCAACCCUCAAGCACAGCUUGGUGUUGGGACUCGCGUUAAUUCGCGUUCCUCAAAUUGAUUGGCGGUCACGUCGAGCUUCCAUAGCGUAGUAGUAAAACCCUCGUUACUGGUAAUCGUCGCGGCCACGCCGUUAAACCCCAACUUCUGAAUGUUGACCUCGGAUCAGGUAGGAAUACCCGCUGAACUUAAGCAUAUCAAUAAGCGGAGGAA